GUGAUCGGAAGGGACUGGCUGGAGUGUGGCGGGCUGACAGGUCUGAGGCCUGAAGGACUUCCGGGAACCGCAAAGCACGGUGUGCCUCCGCUGUCCUGAAGAAAAAGCCGCGCGCGGACGACUGGCCGGCCCGCGCUUGCAGCUCCCAGAAGUUGACAGGCAUCCUCCGGUGACCGGUGUGAGUAUGGCAUCAGGAUGAUUUGACUGCAAGCAACAGAAAAAUCAAACAAAAAUGGCCUAAGCCAAGAAGAGAAAUGAUUAUUUCACAUUCCAAGAAGUUUGGGAGUCGAGUGGUUAAACGGCUAAUUAAUCUAGAGCUCAACAGUAUCACCCAGGACCCAUUUUCACUAUGGUGGCUAAAGCUCUGCACCCUUCAGGCUUGCACCAUGGCAGCAGCAGUGACAGUAAAGACACCCUUACACCACAAUGCUCCAUGACCAGGGAGAGGGUCUCCUCUCUCCUGCCCCUUUCUGGAGGCUCCACCGAAGAUUUCUCUUCACAUUCCGUUUCUCAUUCCUGAAGCAGUUGCUGGCAACAGGGAUGGACUUACCGCAAUGGGUACAGAGCAACUAAGAUUCACCACUAGGUGAGUCCUUUGGAAAACACUUGGCCAUCCAAUAUAUAAACAAAUCUGGUACUCCUGUCAGGAAAGAGGUAGGUAAUUCCCAACAGCCAAUAGUGUCUGCCACAAGUGAAAUAUCUCAUCAGAGAAAACUGAGUAGGUAAUACAUGAUUCUGUGUUUUCUCUGUUUUCUGCCUUUGCUUUUUCCAUUUGGUAAGACUCACCUGUGUUCCUCUUUGUGGCUCUUUCUCCUUGAUAAUACAACCCUGGUUUAGUUCAGAUACAGGUGGCAAUAGGCCAGAAUUUGUCCUAGGAGACAAAUUCGUGAUGAGCCUCGCAAAGUCAUGACAAUCCCAAUUCCAUUUGCCAGUGAACCAUUUAGGGAUGGCCACGUGACUCAGUUCUGGUCACCAAGGUGGUGGAAGAGAAGUUCUCUUGAGGGGCAUCUGGGAAAGAUUCUUCUGCCUGAUAAAACAGGAGGUAAGCAAGGGUUCUGCUCCCCCAUUUGUUUCUGCCUUUGAACGUGGCUGUGGGAAGACAUGAUGCUUAGUGUUGCUGCAGCUAUCUCAUGACCUUGGGCAAAACAUCCCAACACACAGGAGGGCCAAACAAGCAGUCAGAAGAAGCCUGAGUCUUGUGGGUGUUGUUGAGCAGCUGAACAAACCCUAGGAUGGCUUCCUUCCAGACUUCUUAGGAUUGCGAACAAUGAAGCUCUAUUGUUUAAGCAAGGUAUCGAUGGCUAUUUUCACUUGCCACUGAAAGCACCAGGACAGAGAAUCGUCUUUCUAGGAAUACAGCCACAAAAGCCUUCAUUAUGGUAUAUGCACAUAAAGAAUAUAAAAGUUUCCUUUAUGUUUCUCUUUAAAAUAUAGCUGAAGUCUGCCUCAGGCAAAAAGACAAACAGAAAACAUAAAUGCAUACAUAAUUCAAGAACAAUAAAUAUUUAUUUUAAAAUGAAUAAAUGUUCUGCAGGAUAUUGUAAUAGUUUUCUCAGGGAAUAUAUUUUUCUAAUACUUAUAUCAACUAACAGUAUUUCUGUGGCAUCUCCAGGUCCUCUGUGUUUAAGUCCUCCCUAGAAACUGCAUUUCUCUCCUUUUUCCUGCUACUUUGGAUCUCAAAUGUGCCUAAAAAGAAAUACUUUUAACUUCUCUGGUUUUUCUUUUUUCAAAUAUUAACUUGUAACUUGCAGUUGUAACAUGGUUGUUGCUAGCUAGCUGUCAAGUAUUUGUCCAAAAAUGUGUUCCUAGAAUACCUUCAUCUUACAGUCACUCAAUCCAUAAUAGAGUUUAAACAUUUUUCCAUAAUAUUUCACAGAAUAUUCAUGUUUUUACAUAAAAAACACUUUUAAUAUAUGAACUAUCUGCAACACACAGCAAAAUCCCAGUUAUAUGACAUCAAUAGCCAUAUACUAAAAUACACCUAACAAUAUUCAUAUUAAACUCAAAUUUAAUAUAUGUUAAUAUGUAGGCAUAUUUACUUAUACAUAAAGCUGUAGAUUUCUCUCUAUCCUUCCCCCGUACUUCCCAGAGGUAACCAUUGUAUUGAUGAUGAUGUUGAUGACAGCAACAAUGAUGAUGAUAAUGAUGGUAAUAAAAACCGCAAAUUUGCUGUAUGCCAGGCAGUAUUCUAAGCACUUUACAUACAUUAACUCCUUAAAUGUCCACCGCAGACAUAUGACAUAGAUACUAUUAUUAUCCUUCAUUUUAUAGAUGAGAGGUUGAGAAAAAAAUUGGUUAAGCAGCUUGUCCAAGGCCACACAGCUGGUGUGCCAGGAUUCCAACACAGGCAAUCUGGCCCUGGAGCCCUUUGCCGUAUCCCAUUGCUAUAUGGAUAUUGCUGUGUAUCAUUAUAUACUUUCUCUAAACAUGUAUGCAACCAUAAAAAGCUAUACAUAGGAUUUCUCUCCUUUUUAAAAAGUAUAUAAUCUUAUAACAUUUAUGGGGUCUUUUUCCAGUUAUUUUGCUAUUAUGAAAAAUGUUGCAAUGAAUAGUCUUGAAUAUACAUCCUUGUGCAUUUACUCUCUGGUAAACAUCUAGAAGCCAAAUUUCUGCUUGGUAGAUUACUCAUAUUAACAUUUUUUUUUUAGUUAUUCCAAAAUUGCUCUUCAAAGUAAUUGUACCAAUUUGCAGUUCUGCCAGCACUGUAUAAGUUUUCCAUUUCUCGCUAACUCCAUCAAUUCUUUGUAUCAUUGAGUUCGCUGAUUUUUGCUAAUCUGACUGAUGUGAGGUGGUAUUUCAUUAUUCUCAUUUGCACUCUUCUUUGAUUGCUAGAGAGGUAAGAGCAUCUUUUCAUAUGCUUGUUAUCUAUUUAUGCUUAUUUUUUUCUUGGAUUUUCAUUUUGUCUGAUUUUAAACGAAUUCUAUGACAUUCUGCUGAAUAAAGUGAGUUACAUAGGUUGUAAACACCUUCCCAUGGUAGCUAUUGACCUUCUUUUUGUUGUCAUCUUGAUACAUGGAAGUAUUUAGUUUAAUGUAGUUACAUUCUCAAUACUUUCUUUUCUCAAUAUGGUUUAUGCUUUUAGCAUUAUAAGUAAUAUGGCAGUACUCAGAUGUCAUCAAGAUAUUCUUCUAUAUAUUCUUUUUAAAUUUAGCUUUUCACAUUUAGGCAACUUUGAGUAUGCUAUGAAGUAGUACCCAAUUUUACCGUCUUUCAUAUAAAUACUUGAAUCUAUCUUUUUCUAUAUGGUGAUGUCUCAGCAUCAUUUAAUGAAGACUCUCAUUCUUUGCCCAGUGAUUUGUGAUGUUAUCUCUGUCAUAUUCCACAUUUACAUAUCUAAGUGGUUUUAUUCGUACGCUCUCUAUUCCCUGUGGCAAUAUCACAUUGUUUAGUAUAGUUUUACAUGAUAAUGUAGUAUCAAUAUUCAAAAGGAUAACCACCCUGCUUUUUUCUUUUCCUCCUUCUCUGCCUCCUUCUCCUCCUUCUUCUUUGCAAUUGUCUAGCCUAUUCUUGAAUUUUUAUUCUUUCAUAUGCAUUUAAGAAUCAUCUUGUCAAGUUCUUCGAAAAACCCUACUGAAAUUUUUAUUGAAAUUGUAUUGAAUUUAUAUGUGAAUUUGGGAAAAAUUGUCUUUUUUUUUUUUUUGACGGAGUCUCGCUCUGUCACCCAGGCUGGAGUGCAGUGGUACAAUCUCAGCUCACGGCAAACUCGGCCUUCUAGAUUCACGCCAUUCUCCUGCCUCAGCCUCCCAAGUAGCUGGGACUACAGGCACCCACCACCUGGCCUGGCUAAUUUUUUUUGUAUUUUUAGUAGAGACGGGGUUUCACCAUGUUAGCCAGGAUGCUCUCGAUCUCCUGACGUCGUGAUCCGCCAGCCUCGGCCUCCCAAAGUGCUGGGAUUACAGGCGUGAGCCACAGCGCCCGGCCAAUUUCACAAAUAGAUUUUUUUUCUUACUGUAAAUCUUAGCAAGCUCAGCAUACGAAUUUUUUUUUCCUUAAAUUGAAAGCUUUUACCCUUUCACUUAAAGGCAGCACUUUAUGGCUUCUCUUGGGCAUAUCCAAAUUGCUACCAUCACUACUCGUAUUAGUCCAUUUUCACGCUGCUGAUAAAGACAUACCUGAGACUGAGAAAUUUACCAAAUAAAGAGGUGUACUGGACUUACAGUUCCACAUGGCUGGGGAGGCCUCACAAUCAUGGUGGAAGGCAAGAAGGAGCAAGUCAUGUCUUACAUGGAUGGCAGCUGGCAAAGAGAAAGCUUGUACAGGGAGACUCCCGUUUUGAAAACCAUCAGAUCUUGUGAGACUCAUUCACUAUUACAAGAACAGUGCAGGAAAGAUGCACCCCUGUACUUCAAUCACCUCCCAGCAGGUUCCUCCCACGACAUGUGGGAAUUGUGGGAGUUACAAUUCAAGAUGAGAUUUGGUUGGGGACACAGCCAAACCAUAUCACUACUCUUGUGCUUUGGGGCCAUUAUGAAGUAAAACAAGCAUUAUUUGAACACAAGAACUGCAAUACCACCACAGUAGAUCUGAUAACUGUUGGCUACUAAGUGACUAAGGGGCAGGUGAAGUAUACAGCUUGGAUGCGAUGGACAAAGAGGAAGAUCUACCUCCCAGCUGGGAUGGAGCAGGACGAUGCAAGAUUUCAUCACACUACUCAGAAAGGCAUGCAGUUUAAAGCUCGUAAAUUAUUUCAGGAAUUUUCCAUUUAAUAUUUUCAGGCUGUGGCUGACCGUGAGUAACAAACCCAGGAAAGCGAAACUGCAGAACAGUGGAUGGGAGAAAGGGUGAAUUACUGUAUAUUCAUGAGGGAUAUUAGUCCAUAGUUUCUUUUUUCCCUUUUAACAAAUUUUUGGGUUUUGUAUAUAGUUUGUCUGGUUUUGGUAUCAGGGUAAUACUAGCUUCAUAAAAUGAAUUGGAAAGCGUUUCUUCUGUUUUCCUAAAAAGAUUAUAUGGAAUUAGCAUUCAUUCUUUAAACACUUGGUAGAAAUCUUAAGUAAAACCAUCUGAGCUCGGAGAUUUUUUUGUGUGUGUUAUAAAAUUACAUAUUCAGUUUCCUUAAUAUUUAUAAGAUCAUUUUAAUUAUCUGUGUUUUUCAGUGAAACGGGUCAAUUUUCUGUAUGUUGUCAAAUUAAUAUUUGUAGAAUUGUAUUAGUAUUCUUCAUUAUCCUUUUGAUGUCUGCAGAAUCUGUAAUGGUAUCCCUGUUUUAUUUCUGAUAUUAAUUUGUGCCAUUAUGUCUUUUUUUCUUUGUUGAUCUUGUCAGAAGUUUGUCAAUUUUAUCAAUUUGUUCCAAGAACCAGCUCAUUGAUUUGGUUUCAGUUUCAUUGAUUUCUACUUUUAUCUUUAUUAUUUCCUUCUUUUUCUUGCUUUUGGUAUAUUUUGUGCUUCUUUUUCUAGGUUCUAGAGGUGGAAGCAUACGUUAUUGAUUUGAGACCUUUCCUCUUUUCUAAUGUGAGCAUUUUAGUUACAUUUAGUUCCCUCCUAGGACUACUUUAAUUGGAUUAUUGAGAGGUGUUGAAGUCUCCAACUGUAUUUGUGGAUUUAUUUAUUUUUCCUUUCAGUUCUAUUAGUUUUAGCUUCACAUUAUUUUGCAGCUCUGAUGUUUAAAGGUGCAUGAACAUUUAGGCUCACUAUGUCUCAGUGAAUUGACCCUUUUAUCAUUACGUAAUAUUCCUCUCAGUCUCUGGUCAUUUUCUUUGUGCUGAAAUAUACUUUAUCUGAUAAUAUAAUGACUGUUCCCUGUAGAUUAAUAUUUUCAGGAUGUAUCAUUUUUAUUUUUUUAUUUUCAACCUGCCUGUAAUCAUUAUAUUUGCAGUGAAUUUUUUCUAGACACUGUAUAGUUGAAUCAUUUAAAAAAGUCUGCUCUGGCAAUGUGUCUUUUAAUUGGUGUAUUUAGAUCAUUACAUUUAAUAUAUUUACUGAUAUGUUAGGGCAUAAUAAUUUUUUGUUUUCUGUUUGUGUCUCUGCUUAUUAUUUCUGUUUUCUUUUUCC
rnacentral:lncRNA from 1 species